GCAGUGGGGAAUUUUGGACAAUGGGCGAAAGCCUGAUCCAGCAAUGCCGCGUGUGUGAAGAAGGCCUUCGGGUUGUAAAGCACUUUUGUCCGGAAAGAAAUCCUUGGCUCUAAUACAGUCGGGGGAUGACGGUACCGGAAGAAUAAGCACCGGCUAACUACGUGCCAGCAGCCGCGGUAAUACGUAGGGUGCGAGCGUUAAUCGGAAUUACUGGGCGUAAAGCGUGCGCAGGAGGUUUGCUAAGACCGAUGUGAAAUCCCCGGGCUCAACCUGGGAACUGCAUUGGUGACUGGCAGGCUAGAGUAUGGCAGAGGGGGGUAGAAUUCCACGUGUAGCAGUGAAAUGCGUAGAGAUGUGGAGGAAUACCGAUGGCGAAGGCAGCCCCCUGGGCCAAUACUGACGCUCAUGCACGAAAGCGUGGGGAGCAAACAGGAUUAGAUACCCUGGUAGUCCACGCCCUAAACGAUGUCAACUAGUUGUUGGGGAUUCAUUUCCUUAGUAACGUAGCUAACGCGUGAAGUUGACCGCCUGGGGAGUACGGUCGCAAGAUUAAAACUCAAAGGAAUUGACGGGGACCCGCACAAGCGGUGGAUGAUGUGGAUUAAUUCCAUGCAACGCGAAAAACCUUACCUACCCUUGACAUGGUCGGAAUCCCGCUGAGAGGUGGGAGUGCUCGAAAGAGAACCGGCGCACAGGUGCUGCAUGGCUGUCGUCAGCUCGUGUCGUGAGAUGUUGGGUUAAGUCCCGCAACGAGCGCAACCCUUGUCCUUAGUUGCUACGCAAGAGCACUCUAAGGAGACUGCCGGUGACAAACCGGAGGAAGGUGGGGAUGACGUCAAGUCCUCAUGGCCCUUAUGGGUAGGGCUUCACACGUCAUACAAUGGUCGGAACAGAGGGUUGCCAACCCGCGAGGGGGAGCUAAUCCCAGAAAACCGAUCGUAGUCCGGAUUGCACUCUGCAACUCGAGUGCAUGAAGCUGGAAUCGCUAGUAAUCGCGGAUCAGCA
rnacentral:rRNA from 1 species